CACUUGAUUUUGCAUUCUCAAAGGGAGGUAUCAUUCUUUCGUGUGUGCGUUUUUUAACAAAUUUAAUCUUGUUCAUUUGUUCCUGUAAAAUGAAUGCACUGAACUGUAUUAAGGCAAAAGAUGUGCCAAAAACUAUCACGGUACCAAGAACCGACACUGACAACCCGAUUUUAAGUCAUUGGUGCAAUUCCACGUGUGAGGCUGUUAAACUUUAUUUCGAGUGGACGAUUCAACAUUUUAAACGAGUGAAAUAUGAAGAAAUUGUAUCAGAUAGUUUUGCAGCAAAAGAAACCCCCUAUCUACAGUGGAAUCUGCAUUUCUUGUCCCAUCGACAUUUCAAACUCGUGUUGAAGAAUGAGGAAUCUAAUCUUCAAAACGUUGCUCAUCCAGUUACAUUCGAAUAUAAUUUGUUUAUUAUAAACACAAAAGGUGAUCGAGUUAUCUGGAGUAAAGGACUUCAUUCGUUUCCCAACAGUGGUAACUUAUAUAUUGAAACGGGCAUGCACAUGAAAGACUAUGACGGUUAUCUGACUGAUGAAGCUCAUUUUACCAUGCACUGUCAAAUCUUAACUUGGAUUAAUCGAAAAACCACAACAGGAGAAUUUUCACGUGAAUUGCCUGUACUUCCUAAUAAUGACGAACUGAUCAACGAUUUGAGUGGACUAUUCGGAAAUGAAAAGCAUAGCGAUGUUGUUUUCGGUAUUCGUGGCCAACAAUUCAAGGCCCACAAGAACAUCUUAUCUGCUAGAAGUUCAGUCUUUUCGGAAAUGUUUCAACAUGAAGGAUUGGAGGCGUCGCAUCAGGUCAAUAUCCAAGACAUUGAUCCCGAAGUGUUCCAGGAAGUGCUUCGUUUCAUUUACACCGGCCAUGUGCCAUUAACCAAAAUGGAUGCUUUGGGGCUAAGACUUUUGGCUGCUGGCGAAAAAUACCUUCUCAAAAACCUCAAAAACGCUUGCGAAAAACACUUGGUGAAUUCGUUAUCAGCAGAAAACUGUGUGGAAUUUCUCAUGGUAGCCAAAAGCCAUUCUGCAGAUUAUUUGAAGAAGAAUGCCUUGGAUUUUCUUCGUCGUUUCUCUCGUGAAGUGAAGGCGACCAACGCAUGGAAUAAAGCUCACCCCAUUUUCUUGCGUAAUAUCCAUGAGAUAGAUUUGGCUACUCCACCAGCUUGCAAGAAAAGAAAAUAAAUCUAAAAUCUCCCUCGCAAAACGUUAUCCAAAUCCAGAAAAUAUUUUGUAUUGUUUUUCACUUAAAUUGCAUCAUCAAAAUACCUAUCAAAAAGGUUUCUCGCAAUCUGGACGAUUCCAGACAUGUCCUCCAUCUUGUUUUUCGCUGUAAGCCCUCCCCCCUUCUUCCUAUUCCCUUGAUGGCAUCCUAUUGGCUGUUGAAAUUUUCCCUCACCCCCUUUCUUCAACUGUGGGAAAAUUCGUCACGUUGCUUGCAACACGAGGUCAUUCAGUCUUAGUCUUUCUUGAUAGAACGUUCUGUUUCGCGUGGUUAUAGCUUGUGGUGAUUGCAAUAUUAACUGAAAUUGACUAAAAGAUUUGUUUCGAAAUGGCUCAUUAUAAUCUUGUGAAUGUUGGUGAGUCGAUUAGUGACGAGCCUCUCGAUUUGAGCAUGAAAAAAAGUCGACAUGAAUUGGAAUAUGUUCGUGGUCCUCUCGUGGUCCAACCGAACACGUUGCAACCACCAAAAGUCGUGGUGGCUCGAAUAUGGCAGACUAAUGUAGUGAUACGUUCACUGAUAGAAUCCCCGCAACAAGUGCAACAACUGCAACAUCCCGAGGUACCGAAGGAGAAGCCCAUCCCAAAAGCACAACCCAGGAAAAGGUUUCGUUUCAAUCAUUACCAGAUCGGUAUCAUGGAACGUGUUUUUGAAAUUAAAAAAUUUCCAUCAUCCGCCGAGAUCAUCGAAACUGCUAAUCUGCUCGGUGCAAGUGCCACUCAAGUCAGAAAUUGGUUUGCCAGGCGUUGCUCUAAAUGGAAGAGAGAGUUCAUGCGUUCGGCCAAACUCGUAAGGAUCGCUCCGGCCCCUGCACAAGAGUCUUCAACAUCUUCAUCCUUUCAUCCAUCAUCUUCAUCAUCAACGUUCUAAAGAUGCAGAGGAAUCAACAAACAUCCAGACUCAUCAUCCACUUUGACCAGGUUGAUGUCCAUUCCAUUUUGAUAACUUCUUCUUACUACUGCGAAACCUCAGAAACGCUUACAGAAAAGAAAGAAAUUUCAGUCAUUUAGUAAAUAGUCAGGUGCUAUCAUCAAGAAUAAUGUGUCAUGGCCUCCUCCCUUCUUAUGUUUAAAUAGUGUGUCAUUACCUAGAGAAUACCCUGUGAUAAUUAGUGUUUGUUGGAUCGCAAGUUUACCUCAGGAAGUCUCUGGGGGAAAUCGUUUAAUUUGCUAAAUAUCCAUUUUAAUUUAUGACCAGUUUGUUCGAACGUGUUAACCUAGAGAAUCCCGCCCUCGUUGGAAACAAGCGAAAGUUACCUUGUUCUACAUUGAGUAAAUAAAUAAUUCAGUACCAUCA
rnacentral:misc_RNA from 1 species